CAUCCCGCGCCCAAAUCCGAUUCACGGAGCCCUCAAAACCAGCCAAUCAAUCCCACUUCUGGAAGUGAAACCACAGGCCGGGGGAGCCAGUCAAAGGCCCCGGUGCAGGAACGGCUGAAGGAGCAGCUUCGGCCCAGACCCACAGACUCAGGGCUUCCUUAAAACCAAAGAUGCUGAGAAGGCCAGGCUGGGCCCAAAGCAAGUGGCCACUGGAAAGAGCCACGGCUGCUGGAUGUGUAGGAGGCUGCAGAGGCUCCUCAGGAGUCAGCAGGCCCAAGUGACUGCCUCUAGCAAUGAGCUGGACAGGGAGGGGCCUGUGCAGGCUCUCCCAGUGACAGCCAUGGGAGGAAGAAGUCCUCCUGGUGAUAGCCAUGGGAGGAGGAAGAAGUCUUCCCCGUGACAGCCAUGGGAGGAGGAAGUCCUCCCUGUGAGAGCCAUGGGAAGAGGAGGCCCUUCUGGCUUCUGGACUAGCCCUUGGAGCCCUUAUUCCAUGAUACCUUUCAGAAAGCUCAUUCCCCCAGAAAGACUCUGGGGGGGAUCGAUGAAGCAUCUAGGAAGCUGUUAUUGUGAUCCAGGUACCAGGCUCCAUGUUGGUGGUCAGUCCCCAGGCAAACACCAAACUGUCCCAUCAAGAAGGAACAACAGGAAGGUAGCAGGGGGGUGCAAGCUGGGCCCGAGACAACCUGGGAGGGCGAGGAAAGGCCUGAGAGGCUGCAGCUGAGUCUCAGAGGGAGGCUUUGAGGGAGGCUCUCCAGGCACUGAGCUCAGCCUGGGGGCUCCCAAUGAGGCCAGAAAGACGGAGGAGGCAGGUGGGGAAGAAGCAGAGCCAUGAUGGGAGCUGACAGGAGAACCUGCUGUGAGCAAUCCUGCCCAAACGAAAACCCCUUUGGCAACAGUGUGGGAUGAGCUGGAGUGGGAGGAGCCAUACUAGGGGGCUGUGGCCACACUGUGGAGGAGGGGGGGGACGCCAGGCUGAGCACAAGUGGGAGCUCCGAGGGUGAGCAGAAGCUGAGGCAGGAUGGCAAGGGCCAAUGGCAAGAUCUGGCAUAACAGUAAUAGUAACAGCGCUGGACAAAUAUGAUCUCAUUUGACCUUCUCAAAAGCCCAUCAUAAAGAUAUCGUGACACCAGGGCCCAUGUUCUCUCCAUGGCCCCUCGCUUGGGGGGGGGGGAAGGAGAAGGUGGGGUUUGAGCACAGCCUCUGCAGGGCUUUGCCUCCAGUAGCUACUGAGCAAAUACUUGUGGAAAGACAGAAGCCACUCUCAGUCUAAGGCCAUGGCAACCUUUCUCCUGACCUUUCUGAUCUUCUGCCAUUGGACUCCCCUCCCCAAGGCCAUCAAUCAUCCUCUAAGGUCCUGAGACAAGAGGUGGGGCCCAUCUCCCAUCUCUCUGCCCCAUGCCUGGUCUGCUCUGCCUUCUAGCUUCCUGGGCUUGCUUUAAAACAGUUCAAAUCUCCCCUGGCCCUCCCAGGGUUCCCUCCCUCAGAAAACCAGAACAUGUCUCUCCAUUGGAAUAGAAGCUCCUAGAGGGCAGGGACUCUUUUUAUUUUCUAUUCCCAGGGCCUGACCCAGUGCUUGACACUGCCAGAAAUGCCUGCCGGAGGCCUGAAAUCCUUUACUCUCCCCUUGGGAAGGGAAUAGCACCGGGCCUGGGGCUCCGCCCCGGCCAGACUGAAGACUGAAGCCUCUUUUGACAGAGAAACGAGUCAAGAAACACUUCUAGAAAGAACCAAAGUGGGAAAGGUAACGAAUGUCGCAGAAGGAGAGACUGGCAAGCCGGGACUGCAGACACUCCGACAGGCUGGGCCCCAUUUCUCAAGCUUGCUGACUGUGUGUGAGGCAGCACAGGUUCUACAUCAGCCAAGAAAAUGCUCUUCUCCCAGCAAACAUGAAGCUCGAGAUAAUAUCCUGAUCAUCAAAAUUCGAUCAGAUAAUUCUUCCCUAAUUCUUGCACAUUCGAGCUGUAUUUUAUUCCCUGUAAACAUUCUCUAAACAAUC